AGGAGCCAAGAAGACCCAGUGACCAGCCAUGUUACACUGGACUGUGGACUCUGGGACAAGGGCAAAAGCACAAACCUUCCCAAGGAAGAAUCCCCAAGGUCCAGGGUUGGAUUUUGAUAAGGAAAAUCAUUCAGAUGGCCUCCAAAAAAACCUCUACGACAAAGUUGAGAAUAUUACCAAGAGCUGCCACAUACCUAAAGAAACAAAUAUUAUGAGGUCACACUCAAGAAAUUCCACGUUGCUAAGUUUGUAAGAUGUUCUUCACAACACCUGACACUGAGUGAGAGGGUGACUCGGAAGACGCAUUCUUCACAGAAUGAGCUGCUAGCACCACGUCCCACGCUCUCCUACUUCCUCUGUCUCGAUUCUUUCUUUCUUUAAAAUUAGAUGUUGACUUGCAAUGGGUUUAGAAGCCAUUUACUUGAAUCCCUUCAUUUUCACAUUAGAAUUUUGAUAUUUUAAGCUUAAUUAUAUCAUUGUAGAAAACAUGGAAAGUACAGACAAAGGUAAGAAUAUAUUGAAAGGCAUAUCUAAAAGCCAUCUCCAGAGAUAAUUAGCAACAGCAGCUCCCCAAGGUCACCAACUGCUGUUUCGGAAGGAGAGAUGACAACCAACCAACAAUCCACUAGCGAUCAGAUCCCAACCACUCCUCCUCCACACCAGCCCUGUGGACUUUUCGGGACAGGAAGACUUGGACUUUCCGAGUGAUUGGAGAAGCACAAGACUGACAACAAACCCGGGUAGAAUGUCUCCUACAAUAAGCUCAGAUGAACCCUCAGUUCUACCUGUCCAUGGCCUCUUUUCCUGCCCAUAAUCAUGGGGCACAGUGCCUGUCUCCUAGAUUUCAUGGCCCCUCCGAGCUGAGGAAAUCAUUCUGCCCUCUGACUGUCUUCAAGUAUUAAUGAGGUGUGCGCUUUGUCAUUGCAGGUGUGUAGGUCAUGUUAAAACCAUUCUGGGGAAGACAGCUAUGAAGGGUAUGCAAUUAUUCUCCUGAGCUUCCUGCAAAACUCCUUUAUGAAAUUUAAAGAAAAAGAUGUCCAACUUGAUGCCUGCCUUCCUUGAUCCAAGCAGUUUUUUGAUCCCACCAGCUCAGUACUUCUUAGAGAUCAGUACAUUUCUCACCUUGGCAUUUCCAGGGCAUUUGUUUGUGUAUAGCUCCAUCUCUCCUGAUGCAGUAUGAACUUCCUCAAGGCAAAGAUCCAACUCCUAGUAUCAUUUCAAGCACAUGGCAAAGGCUUGAUAAAAGUUUAAUGAAUGGAUAAAUGAAUGUUUGAAUGAAUACUCUUCAUGAGGGAUAUUUCCCAUGUUUCAGAAGGAUUUUUGUUGAUAAAGACAGUCCCUAGUACAAAUACGAAAAUGUGAUCUUCUACACUUAACAUAAUAUAAACAGUAGUAUAUUUCAUAACCAAACCAUAUGCAUCAGCCUUUCUUCUAUUAACAUAAACACUUAUGCCCUCAUAUAUCCAGAGUCAAGAGCGAAAGGCUUGUCCGUACUCCCAAACUUGAACCCCACAAUCAUUGCUGG
rnacentral:lncRNA from 1 species